CAGAGCUAAGAGCUGGACAUUAGCCUGCCCUGGACAUCUGAAGCCAGCGAUGGCGACCAAAAGACUUAAAUGUACAGACACCACUAGAAGAGAUCGAAAUGAUGAUGGUGGUGGAAGUCCUCCAAAGGAAGUGGGAGCGGCAAAUAGGACAGUAUCUAGUGGAGAGGCAGAGACUCCCAGAGCAGCAGCGAGAGGGACAGUAGCAGAGACACCCAGGGCAGCAGAGACGGAUACAUAACAAAACAGACUAAUAAUAAAUAAUAAAGUGGUAUAGUUUAAUGAAAUAAAUGACCAGUUUUUAAAAUGUUUCCGAGAGGGGGUGGGGAUUUUGUUCAGCUGUAAUUUUAAAUUUCCAUGUACUUUGAACUUUGAAAAAAAUAAAAUAUAUCUUUUUCUUAA